UAUUUGACAAUGGGGGAAACCCUUAUCCAGCCAUGCCGCGUGUGUGAAGAAGGCCUUUUGGUUGUAAAGCACUUUAUGCAGUGAAGAAGACUCCUCGGUUAAUACCCGUGGACGAUGACAUUAGCUGCAUAAUAAGCACCUGCUAACUCUGUGCCAGCAGCCGCGGUAAUACAGAGGGUGCAAGCGUUAAUCGGAAUUACUGGGCGUAAAGGGAGCGUAGGUGGCUCGAUAAGUCAGAUGUGAAAUCCCCGGGCUCAACCUGGGAACUGCAUCUGAUACUGUUGAGCUAGAGUAUGUGAGAGGAAGGUAGAAUUCCAGGUGUAGCGGUGAAAUGCGUAGAGAUCUGGAGGAAUACCGAUGGCGAAGGCAGCCUUCUGGCAUAAUACUGACACUGAGGCUCGAAAGCGUGGGUAGCAAACAG
rnacentral:rRNA from 1 species